rnacentral:rRNA from 1 species
UACGGAGGGGGCUAGCGUUGUUCGGAAUUACUGGGCGUAAAGCGCACGUAGGCGGCUUUGUAAGUUAGAGGUGAAAGCCUGGUGCUCAACACCAGAAUUGCCUUUAAGACUGCAUCGCUUGAACGUCGGAGAGGUGAGUGGAAUUCCGAGUGUAGAGGUGAAAUUCGUAGAUAUUCGGAAGAACACCAGUGGCGAAGGCGGCUCACUGGACGAUUGUUGACGCUGAGGUGCGAAAGCGUGGGGAGCAAACAGG